GCGCACGUGGCGGAAUUGGUAGACGCGCAAGGUUGAGGGCCUUGUGUCCGAUUAGGACGUGCUGGUUCGACUCCAGUCGUGCGCA
rnacentral:tRNA from 1 species